rnacentral:rRNA from 1 species
GCUUAUGCGUUGUUGGGUAGGGGAGCGUUCUGUAAGCCUGCGAAGGUGGCCUGUGAGGGUUGCUGGAGGUAUCAGAAGUGCGAAUGCUGACAUAAGUAACGAUAAAGCGGGUGAAAAGCCCGCUCGCCGGAAGACCAAGGGUUCCUGUCCAACGUUAAUCGGGGCAGGGUGAGUCGACCCCUAAGGCGAGGCCGAAAGGCGUAGUCGAUGGGAAACGGGUUAAUAUUCCCGUACUUGGUGUUACUGCGAAGGGGGGACGGAGAAGGCUAUGUUGGCCGGGCGACGGUUGUCCCGGUUUAAGCGUGUAGGUGUGUGUUCCAGGUAAAUCCGGUUCACUUUAACACUGAGGCGUGAUGACGAGGCACUACGGUGCUGAAGCAACAAAUGCCCUGCUUCCAGGAAAAGCCUCUAAGCAUCAGGUAACAUCAAAUCGUACCCCAAACCGACACAGGUGGUCAGGUAGAGAAUACCAAGGCGCUUGAGAGAACUCGGGUGAAGGAACUAGGCAAAAUGGUGCCGUAACUUCGGGAGAAGGCACGCUGACACGUAGGUGAAGUGAUUUACUCA